rnacentral:rRNA from 1 species
GAUGAACGCUGGCGGCGUGCCUAAUACAUGCAAGUCGAGCGAACAGACGAGGAGCUUGCUCCUUCGACGUUAGCGGCGGACGGGUGAGUAACACGUAGGUAACCUACCUAUAAGACUGGGAUAACUUCGGGAAACCGGAGCUAAUACCGGAUAAUAUUUCGAACCGCAUGGUUCGAUAGUGAAAGAUGGCUUUGCUAUCACUUAUAGAUGGACCUGCGCCGUAUUAGCUAGUUGGUAAGUUAACGGCUUACCAAGGCAACGAUACGUAGCCGACCUGAGAGGGUGAUCGGCCACACUGGAACUGAAACACGGUCCAGACUCCUACGGGAGGCAGCAUAAGGGAAUCUUCCGCAAUGGGGGAAAGCCUGACGGAGCAAGGCCGCGUGAGUGAUGAAGGUCUUCGGUUCGUAAAACUCUGUUAUUAGGGAAGAACAAACGUGGAAGUAACUGUGCACGUCGUGACGGUACCUAAUCAGAAAGCCACGGCUAACUACGUG